rnacentral:siRNA from 1 species
UCCAGCUCAACCAAAUUAAUGCCU